rnacentral:rRNA from 1 species
GACAGAAGGUGCAAGCGUUACUCGGAAUUACUGGGCGUAAAGCGUCCGCAGCCGAUCAUGUAAGUCUGGUGUUAAAGCCCGGGGGCCCAACCCCGGAAUUGUGCCGGAAACUGCACGAAUUGAGUCAUAACAGAGGCAUCUGGAAUAUCGUGUGUAGGGGUAAAAUCCGUUGAUCCACGGUAGAACGCCGAAAAGCGAAGGCAGGAUGCUGGGUAUGUACUGACGGUCAGGGACGAAAGCGUGGGGAGUCAAACGGG